rnacentral:misc_RNA from 1 species
UAUGAAGAACGCAGCAAAAUGCGAUAAGUAAUGUGAAUUGCAGAAUUCAGUGAAUCAUCGAAUCUUUGAACGCACAUUGCGCCCGCCAGUAUUCUGGCGGGCAUGCCUGUUCGAGCGUCAUUUCAACCCUCAAGCACAGCUUGGUGUUGGGACUCGCGUUAAUUCGCGUUCCCCAAAUUGAUUGGCGGUCACGUCGAGCUUCCAUAGCGUAGUAGUAAAACCCUCGUUACUGGUAAUCGUCGCGGCCACGCCGUUAAACCCCAACUUCUGAAUGUUGACCUCGGAUCAGGUAGGAAUACCCGCUGAACUUAAGCAUAUCAAUAAGCGGAGGA